AGAGUCUCCCACCAGCAGACAGACAGGGCAGCAUGUUGACCUGCUGAAGAGACCCUUCAGCGACUCUUCAGAGACCCUGGAUUUCGACUCGACUCGACUCUUUUGAAGAAUAAUAAGGUGUUUGCAGAGUUCAACAGGACAGUCACCAAAAACCUACAGAUGGACUUUUUUGAUGCCCAGGACCGCCACACACCACGCUUUGUCUCGAUCUUCAAGUCCAAGAGAGGAAGUGUGGGAGAGACCCUGACUGAGUUGGUGCAACAAAUUGAUUCAGGGAAACCAGAUGUAAUGGCAAUGCGCACCAUUGUACUCCGAGGCCUCCCUGUUCUACUUGGUGAUGACCCCAGUAACUUCUACAACACCUGCUUCG